AUAUAUUUUACAUAAGAAGGUACUUUUUUUAUUUUAUGCCAUGACCAAUGCAAACUGUGACGAAAGAUGUUAAGACUUAAAUCCUUACACAUCCGUAUGCCCACGAGAGAAGCUUCGGCCAGUGUGUUUAUGUGUCUGUGUUAAGCCAGUGGGGGCGUAUCUCUGAUUUGCUCUACAUGAUUUGGCUAAAAUAAUUUCUAGAUGUUUCUGUAUGUCCAUGGUGUUUGCUAAAAUGUCAAAACUGGACAAGGCUAGUCGUUCUGUUAGCUCUGACACCCAGAUUCCUUUAGUCUCCUUCAAUGCUAACAUUACACAUAAACAAUUUUAUACUUUGUAUUUUUUUAAAUACUCAGACACCUGAGAUAUCCUUCUUUAAAGCCUGGAAAAAUGUGGGCUGUUCUACAGGAUAGACGUCAGGACCGAGAUUCAUCUUGUUCUCUUUAAACUGUUAUGACAGCAGUUCAAAGGGAGAUGGUGCCAAAGCUUUCAUAAAUAUGCUCGAUAUGCUGUUUUUUGCAAACUCUCCCCCGGAAAGGCGGACGAAGAGUUUCUUACUUUUACAGAUGAUUUUAUGUAGCAGGUAUAUAUUAACAUCAGUUAAGCCAAGAGAAACACAAAUACGUAUUCUCUGAUGUUGGGAGAGUUACAUUUGUUUGGUUCUGCUAUCAUACACGUACACAUAUGCAUACAUUCUAGUUAUGUUUUAUGUACAUUUAGAUAAAGCAGUACUCUCAAGAUAUAUGAAGUAUGCAUUUGUUAUAAAUGUAUUUCUAUUUGGCUCAAACUGAGCGCCAUAGUCUUUUCCUGGCUUUAGUCGACCAUUGAUAUGUAUGUGUGGUGUUGGGAGUUUUAUUGCAAGACAGUAAGCUGCUCAAGUUGAACUUAUACAUUUUUUUAACCAGGACUAAUUUACCUAAUGAUGUCAUAAUCCCUUAUCAAGUCUGGUAGUGGUAGAGUUCACUGAUUGGACAACGCACCCUCUAUUUUAUCACUGUGAGGGAAAAUGUAAAUGUAUGUAAAGCAUAAGAAAUAGCAAGCUACCUAAUUCAGCUAAAUACUAAGGUAUUUCAGUCUGCCAUACCAAUUUAAUUCGGAGCUUCGAUGCUACUGUUACUCUUUGCCACAAUUUCUGGUUUCAGCAUGAACCAGAGGGCAGUGGGAAUGGUCACAAAAGUAGUGGCUCUGUGACAGUUCAGAGGUCACCGGCAGGGCCAAAUCCAAGCUCGGGAAAUGGAACAUUAAUAUCUGAGCCUCUUAUCUCUGGGAUUUGGAAGGAGGCCUGGUGUACGCAUUGUAGCACGUACAAAGUUCAUAUUUUCCCAGGGAGUUUUUUUUAAUUUAUUUAUUUUUUACAUGGUGCCUUUUGAACUACUCAUGAUGUUCCUCCCUCGCUCGCCGGUCAUCAAAACAAAAAGCAGAGAUAUAUCUGGCUCUACCAUGUCAUCAUCUCCCAUUACCCCCUUAGAAGAUCAUAUUCCAGGAUCCCAAAUCCGAAGUCAUAGUGUCUCCCAUGGAAUAAACAAGCAUGUUUGUUUUUACUAAGUAACACAAACGUCUGGAAAACAGCCACGUAUCCUGAUGUGGCCUGUUUGAACUGUCCAUGAGCACUUCCUCUAUUCCUCUAUGCUGUCCUGGUGAGCCCUGUGCUCUGUAUUAUUUUCUUGUACCCUUAGAGGGUGGUAGUGUUCCUGUCAGCCAUGUUGUCAGAGUGGGAAACUCUGAACGCUGCACAGUGACCUCAACAAUCGGACGUGCCUGAACACCAGUACACCUCUGCUACAAGUACAAAAUGGGUUUUAACUGCAAAGCAUUUCAUGCUGCUAGAUUAGCAUUAAGCUGGAAUGGAUGUCGUUACCUAAUGUCCUCAUUGAAUUCACUCUGAGGACUAAAACUGUGGUCUGUAACAUUUGCCUCUCAUCUGUGGCAUAUACACUCUGCACUGAUGACUGACCUCUGUGCUGCCUUCACUCACUUGCCUUUCAAAUGGUUAUGGACUGUUUCAUUUCAAACUUGCCUUUCUUUUCUUAGGUGUAGCGCUCUCCCUUACGGGAGAGGUUUGUUUGCCCCAGUGGUAACACAAGAUGUUGAACUACUUUUAGAGGCUAAUAACAUCUAUUAAACCUGCUGCUUAUUAAAUAUCGUUUAAACCGUUGAUUCCCGUGCCGCAGAUGGACAUCGUGAUAGAUGAUAAACACCCCUGUUCCCACAUUCACUGUGAAUGACUGUUAUAAUUCUAAUAGAACACUUGAGUUAACAGAGCAUGUGGCCGAGCACACUUCCCAUGUGCAACAAAAGGUAGUCAAAUCUUACAACUGCCAUGGCUUGAUAUCUUGCUAAAUGCUUGAUUGAGUUGUUGACUAAAAUGACACUACUGUUGGCGCCAUUUAUAAUAACAUUGUAUAGGACUCUGUUGCCUUUUGUUGAACACACACAAAAUUAUGAACUCUCUGUGUGUCCAAUGUAACGACACUGUGGCUUAAGUACAGGCCGAUUAGUGUCACCCAGGAACUCUCCAUGUAACUAUUUUUGGGUUAUGUGUCACGCCAUUUGUCUGUAACUCAUACCUUAAUCGUAUUACCCACCAAGAAGCUGAGGGAGCCUUUAUGAAAACUCGACUCAAACUUACGCUUACUGUUUUUCAAGGACAACAGCCAUACCACCUUGCAAUCAGUUAGAAAUGUAUGUCUCAUACCCCUCAAAGCUUAUUAUUAGAAGCGAUUAUUGCUGCUACUGCUUCUUCUGCUGCUCCUGUUACCUAUAUGGGUUUAGUGAGAGAAAAUUACAUUUUAACAGACUUAUAUAAAAUAGUUUUUCCUUUAGUGGUGAAUGACUCAUAAUGUAUGCAGGGUUAUCACCUUUAAACCCUUUCCCCCAUGACUGGAUUUUGUUGUCUUAUUAUAUUUUUAGAUUAAGCUGCUGGAGUUCUUUUUUGUAUGUGUGUGUGCUUGUUUUCAUUCAGACUCUAAUUGGCUUUGGUAUCAAGAUGGGAGUUUUCUCAGGCCAAUGAGUUCAUUAAAUCACUUUAUAAUGAUAUUCUAUGACAAACUCAGUCACCAGUCGUCCGGUGCCAUGGUUCACACAUGGUUCUGUCUGACCACAGAAUCAGACUGCACUUUUGCUCUGAAUGAGUUGCGUUCCCUGAUCUCGAGUAAAAAUUCUCAAACAAAUUCCUUUCUGACAGGCAUUCCUUGUAUGCUUGAACCGUUGCUCACAUACAAAUGAUCAUAUAAUUCUUACUUGUCAUCUUUUUCAAGUUAUUAUUUUAUCAAAAGCUCGGCACAAAAUAAGGGCUUUUACUGAAUCACAGGAAUUUCUCCUAUGAAAGGGGGAGAUAGGCAAAGGUAUCUUCACAUUUACCCCCUCAUCCCAUGUGCCAGUAUUUUCAGACCACACAAACUAAGUUUUACAACAUAUUUUCUUUAUUUUGAUACUGAAAUGUAUUUUUAUUUUAAAUACAAAUGUAAUACAUUCCAAAAAAAAUAUUUAUCUACAUCAUUGGUCAUUAUUUCUAGUAUGGAUCUCACUGUUUAUGUUAUCUGUUUCGUUCUAUUGCUAAACACAAGAAAAAGAUAAACUGCCAUGUAUUAUUGUCAUAACUAAAUUGUAACAAUCAUAGAUAAUAUAUUUAAUAUGGCAAAUAAAUUAUAGUCCUUAUAUGAAUUGCUUUGUCUCUCUUGUGACUUUCUUCAUCCAGCCUUCUGACGAUGGUCAUGCAUGUAACCUACCCUCAAAUCACACCACAGGAUAAAGAUAUAACUGAUGGUGUCACAAACUGACCUUUGACCUUCACAUUCCUAAGCUACUCUCUUUCUUUGUCUCUCUGUCUCUCACACACACACAGUAUGCUAAUGUAAGGGGUCAGAUUGGGUUUAGCUGUGGGAAUGUUUCUAGUAACUAAGAUACAAAUUGAAACACUAACACAAAGCAAUAUUUGCAAUAUUUGUUUUUAACUCUGAUAGCUGAUCUCAUGUUACAUGUUCAAUGCAAAGCCAAGUAAACGUAACAACAAAGGACAGUGACAAACAUGGAGACAGCUCCCACAUGGAGACAGCUAAUAGUGUAUACACUUUUAGUGUGUGAUGUAGACACUAACAAGCAAACUACCCAGUAAAGCCUCGAUAGACGUCAUAGCGUCUAUGGGUUGCCUGCUUUGAUCCUUAAGCCUACAUUAAUGGUAGGUUAUCCAAUGAAAACAUAAUUGUUCUACUGAAACUAAUGAAGACAUGACAGUCUGUAGGAAGAUACAAGCCUUAGGUUUAUAUCUGGAUGUACGUUGCUCGCACGUUUACAAACUUUGAAACACUUGGUUACAACCUCGCCUCAAUUCAAUUCUAACAACUGCGAUAUUACAACAGGAUUGCAAUUACUUGACAGCAUAACAGAACAAAAUCACGUGUUCACCAGGA
ensembl:lncRNA